UAAGGAAUAUUGGGCAAUGGGCGCAAGCCUGACCCAGCCAUGCCGCGUGCAGGAUGACUGCCCUAUGGGUUGUAAACUGCUUUUAUACGGGAAAAAACCCUCGAACGUGUUCGGGGCUGAUGGUACCGUAAGAAUAAGGAUCGGCUAACUCCGUGCCAGCAGCCGCGGUAAUACGGAGGAUCCAAGCGUUAUCCGGAUUUAUUGGGUUUAAAGGGUGCGUAGGCGGAAUGGUAAGUCAGCGGUGAAAUCUCCCAGCUUAACUGGGAAACUGCCGUUGAUACUGCCAAUCUUGAGUACGGUUGAAGUGGGCGGAAUGUAGCAUGUAGCGGUGAAAUGCUUAGAUAUGCUACAGAACACCGAUUGCGAAGGCAGCUCACUAAGCCGCAACUGACGCUGAGGCACGAAAGCGUGGGGAGUAAACAG
rnacentral:rRNA from 1 species